AACCGAGAACUCCUACGGGAGGCAGCAGUGGGGAAUAUUGGACAAUGGGCGAAAGCCUGAUCCAGCCAUGCCGCGUGUGUGAAGAAGGUCUUCGGGUUGUAAAGCACUUUAAGUUGGGAGGAAGGGCAUUAACCUAAUACGUUAGUGUCUUGACGUUACCGAAAGAAUAAGCACCGGCUAACUCUGUGCCAGCAGCCGCGGUAAUACAGAGGGUGCAAGCGUUAAUCGGAAUUACUGGGCGUAAAGCGCGCGUAGGUGGUUUGUUAAGUUGAAUGUGAAAUCCCCGGGCUCAACCUGGGAACUGCAUCCAAAACUGGCAAGCUAGAGUAUGGUAGAGGGUAGUGGAAUUUCCUGUGUAGCGGUGAAAUGCGUAGAUAUAGGAAGGAACACCAGUGGCGAAGGCGACUACCUGGACUGAUACUGACACUGAGGUGCGAAAGCGUGGGGAGCAAACAGGAUUAGAUACCCGUGUAGUCCGACUGAGA
rnacentral:rRNA from 1 species